rnacentral:rRNA from 1 species
GACAGAGGUGCCAAGCGUUAGGCGGAGUCACUGGGCUUAAAGCGUGUGUAGGCGGAUCGUUAAGUACCUUGUGAAAUCCCACGGCUCAACCGUGGAACUGCUGGGUAUACUGGCGAUCUUGAGCCACCUAGGGGCGAGCGGAACAAACGGUGGAGCGGUGAAAUGCGUAGAUAUCGUUUGGAACGCCAACGGUGAAAACAGCUCGCUGGGGGUGUGCUGACGCUGAGACACGAAAGCCAGGGGAGCGAACGGG